ACUUCCUCGUUUGGUCUGCUGAGUUGUUGCGCUGCUCUGCAGCUCACACUGAACACCCAAGUGUCACGGAUCCAAUUCUGAGGUUUCUCUAUUUUUCAUAAACAGCUACUUCUAAGGUCUCUGAAGCUGUCGUGUGACAUCUCAACUUAUGGUUUCAUGAUAUUGGAUAUUGUGUACAAAUAUAUUAAGAUGUGGUUGUGGAUUUUGAUUUGUCUCAACAUCAUCACAGAUGUGCAUGGGUAUUCAAAUGGUAACUUUCCAGAGGCGUGUCAAUCAAUGUCACCAAAGCAUCAGAAAAUAGAUGGGUCAUUUUUUGGACCUCAGGGCACUGAAUCACCUUUUUACAUCCAUUACGAACUGGGCAAAGAGGGAGAACCUAUUACAGUUACGCUCAAGAGCAAGCAAUCCCAUGCAUUCCGGGGAUUUAUGCUGCAGGCCAGAAUGACAGGAGGCAAUCCUGUUGGCCAAUUUAUCCUGCUUGACACUGUUAACUCUCGACUCCUGAAGUGUGAUGGUUCAGCAGUAAGUAACCAUCCCAUUUGAACAUC